rnacentral:misc_RNA from 1 species
GCAGCAAGCAAGUUCAGAAAACAAAAAAUGCAUGAAGUCUUCCUAUUCAACCAUAACUACCAAAGAUCUGAACCUAGACUAGCAAUAAAUAAGCACCAUCUGGCAAAAGUGGUUUUUUUACCCCUCCAUCCAUCAACCAACUAAUUCAUAACUGAACAGGAAAAUAAAAUCCUCUAGUCAAGGAAAAAUAGAUCAGAGGCUUCUUACCUUGCCAGAUCUCUGAUCAGG